CUCUACUACAUCAAAUAAAUUUAAUACUCGUACUUAUUUGAUUUUUCUACAACAAUUUGAAUUUCUUAGACUUUUAAAAGUUUCAUCCUUAGUUCUAAGUAAGUAAACAUAUGCUUUCAUUCACAAUUACUCCCUUGGAAGUAGAAAUAUAGUAGUGAUGAAGAUAAGGUCUGACCUCUCUCUACACCUACAUCCACCAUAGAUCUUAUCAAAACAAACCCUCUGGACAUAAUGGCACUAGAUACGGCCAAAGUCAACCAUCAAUCCCCAAUAUGAACUACUUAAACGCCUUUGCGCAGACAGUACCAUCAAGUAGCCCCACUGCCUGUCCACCGGACAAACCUACUGAAACAAUGGAGGUGGACAUGACUCACGAGGAAGAAAUGCUUCAGGAUGUACCAAGCAAUAGUACGAUUGUGCUAAUGGCGAAAGACAAAGGAUCUUCUUCGAAUGCUGGGGAACCCGCGGGUAUGCCAUGAAGGAAGGACUUGUAAUAGAGCUGCGGACAAGCUAGCUAAGGCGGGUAGAAGGAUGAAAACAAAUCAGCUUUUUGAGGAAUGGUCAGUUCUUCCCUUAUUUAUUGUAGGACUAUUGAAAUAGAUAAAAAAGAAACUUCUUUUGCAGGGUCUAGUGAACCCGUAGUACCAAAUGUUUGUACUAAAAGUAGUGACUAUGGACACUCUCUAUCGCCUUUCUUGAACGCAGCUUUGUAUAAUGCAUAUUAAUAUUAAAUAAAAUCUCCUUUUAAC